GCCGGGUGUGGUGGCGUGUGCCUGUAGUCCUAGCUACUCAGAAGGCAGAGGCAGGAGGAUAACUUGAGCUCAGGAAUUUGAGUUUACAGUGAGCUAUGAUUGUGCCACUGCACUCCAGCCUGGGCAACAGAGCUAGACCCUGUCUCUA
rnacentral:SRP_RNA from 1 species